rnacentral:rRNA from 1 species
UAGCAUAUGCUUGUCUCAAAGAUUAAGCCAUGCAUGUCUAAGUAUAAACAACUUUAUACUGUGAAACUGCGUACAGCUCAUUACAACAGCAAUAAUUUAUUUGAUGGUACCUUACUACAUGGAUACCCGUAGUAAUUCUAGAGCUAAUACAUGCGCAAAGUCCCAACUCUCACGGGAAGGGAUGUAUUUAUUAGAUACAAAACCAAUGCGGCCCUCUGGGUCGGUCUGUUGGUGAUUCAUAAUAACUGAUCGAAUCGCAUAGCUUCAUGCUGGCGAU